CCUACGGGAGGCAGCAGUAGGGAAUAUUGCGCAAUGGAGGAAUCUCUGACGCAGCAAUGCCACGUGAGUGAGGAAGGUCUUCGGAUUGUAAAGCUCUGUCCUAUAGGAAGAACCGGCCAUAGUAACGUAUGGUCCUGACGGUACUAUAGAAGAAAGCACCGGCUAACUCCGUGCCAGCAGCCGCGGUAAUACGGAGGGUGCAAGCGUUGUUCGGAUUUACUGGGCGUAAAGCGCGCGCAGGCGGACUGACAAGUCAGAUGUGAAAUCUCGGGGCUUAACCCCGAAACUGCGUCUGAAACUGUUAGUCUAGAGUCUCACAGGGGGCAGGGGAAUUUCACGUGUAGGGGUAAAAUCCGUAGAGAUGUGAAGGAACACCGGUGGCGAAGGCGCCUGCCUGGAUGAGUACUGACGCUGAGGCGCGAAAGCGUGGGGAGCAAACAGGAUUAGAUACCCUGGUAGUCCACGCCGUAAACGAUGAGUACUAGUUAUUAGAGGUAUUGACUCCUUUAGUGACGCAGCUAACGCAUUAAGUACUCCGCCUGGGAAGUACGGUCGCAAGACUAAAACUCAAAGGAAUUGACGG
rnacentral:rRNA from 1 species